UUGUAUAGUACUGCGAUCGAUGUGCCAGGAAUUCUAAAAAUUCCGCCAAUGCGUCCCCUAGGGAAUUCACUUUUGGCCAUGCCGGUAGCAGCUGUGCCUUGUUUAGACUUCAGUGUCAUUUUAUUUGGGGCGUGUGUGGUAUUCCUAUUUACAUUGUAAGAAUGUUGAUCUUACAGUAUAAUUUUCACAUCUUUCCGCCCACGCAACCCGGAGUUACAUGUAUAACAGUUUUAAAAUCGACGAAAAGCACCCGCGCGUUAUAGUGGACGCGCCGCAUAUAUUAUCAGGCGGUGGUGGAACCCUCCCACGUGACCGCGCCGGCCAAUCAGAACGCUGAGUUUUACAAAACUUUCAUUUAGGUAGCGAUUUUUCUACCCCAGUAUCUCGUUAAAUUUCUCUACAAUGGGAUUAUUUUGAAAGUUCAGAGUUGCGCCAAACUGUCGAGGAGACAUCCCUUCGUCGCUGGUAGGCUAUCGCUGAACACAGCCUGCGGUAUGUCAAGAAGCGAGCCAUAUCUCACAUCAGAUUCAGAGUUUGCAGCCCCACUGCCAGGAAUGGAAACGCUAUGCAGGAUUCAGAUGUCACCAUCAGGAAGAAUUGUCAAUAGCCAAAUAAUUCUACAAUCCCAUACCCACACACGUUUUCUUGUUACAUGUUAAUUCAACUGAAGAAUGUAAUUUCAGUAUGUACCCAAGUGUGAUCAUGACAGUGAACACAGGCAUGUCCCAUCUCUGAUGUUUGGUGUGACAAUGGCGUUCCAGUUAGAAUAUGUUGACCAUUUAGAAUAAAAACAUAUAUCCUGCAACUUUAGGCUUAAGCCAUUGCUUUGUGUAAAUUUCUCACAACAGUUACAAAGAAGACAGUUUUUAUUGCACAAGGAUAAAGAGACUAGCAUUUCAAUUACAAAUACAGUUCCUGCGAUGUUAUGCUUCAGUCAAAAAAUAAGAAUUCCAAUGCUGAGAUAUGUGAAUGAUAAGCUAUUCAUUGCACAGUGAUAUACAAAAAGGAACAUCAGCAUUUUUCACAUCUUCAAUCUAGAUAUAGAUUUCAUGUUUCCCUUCAGUAGAUACUACUGUCCGAGGUCGCAGCUACAAUGAUGAAUGUGUAGUCUAUUUCAGAAAGAGAAUGAAUAGGAUACUGUACAUGUACAUUUUUUUGUACAUGUAUUUGAUUGUGGAGUGGUUAACCAUGGUAAGGCAGGACUUGUGGAGGAAUCCGUGUAACCUGACAGGGAGAAUGUGAACAGUAUACAAAAUGUAAAUACAAUUCUGCAUGUUGGCAAUCUAUUCAUGUAGUCUGUUUUAACGGUAAAUUUAACCUAUAGUCUGUUCACUGUCAUAGUACAGUCAAAAUCCAAUCGAAUCUCUACACAACAACCCUGAGAGGAUGUCACCCCAGCAUGGUGUCCAGUAUAGAGAAGAAUAUCAAUAUAGGACCUAAAACGGUAGAUACAUGUAGUUUAGGGGUAAUCUAACUGAUCAAAUUAUCCACAUCUUACAUACCUUCUAUAAUGCAAACCACAUGUACUAAGCUGGCCAACCAUAUCUAUUUUUUACGUCCAAUAUUAGUUAAUAAGCAUUCUACCCUAUGAUGAAAGGACAACAUAGACUGCUCCAUCAAGUUCAUUCCAUCAUAUUUUCCAGCCACU